AUUAAAUGACAGAAAACAGAGCAGAUAUAUAAAUACUAUAGAUAGAUAGAUAGAAUAUGGCUUUAAGAGGUUCUUGGUUUAACCAUUAGGGGGUGCCUGCGUACCAUACACCGUAUGUCACAAUAAUAGUUACUUCAACAAUGGGAUAGUGAAACUGAAACACCUGGUUUUAGACCUCAAUAAUUUAUUAGUGUGGUGUAGGGCCUUUAUUUCAGCCAAUACCGCAUCAAUUUGUCUUGGGAAUGACAGAGACAAGUCCUGCACAGUGGCUAGAGGGUUUUUUAGCCAGAAAAGUAACCAGGUUACUGUUGUGAACCAUGUGAUGCUGGUGGAGAAAAACAUUUUCUGGCUUGUUCCUUCAAAAUACCCUGAAGUGGAUCAAAAACAUUUAGAUCUGGUGACUGUGUAGGCCAUAGGAGAUGCUCAACUUCACAUUCAUGUUUAUCAAAGCAUUCUGUAUUGAUGCGUUAUCAUGCUGAUAGGCGGCAGUCCCUUCAGGGUACAAUGUUUGAACCAGGGUUUCCAGAAUGGCUCAGUGGGCCUUGGCAGUGACGCUCCCAUCAAGCACCAUAAGGACUGCCUUGAUGUUGAAAAGGCGGAUGUUGACGUAUGGUCAAAAGACGUACGUCCCAAGACGUCAUAUAGACUGUGUUACUUCGUUCUAAAGUAAGUGUUGUAAGCUCUCAAUACACCGCUGUCUUGCUGUCCUGGUGUGUCCACAAUGUGUCCUCUUCUGAACUGUAAUAUUUAUUGAUGAAAAUGUCUCAGAAAAUCUAACAAUUACAUGGUUUUCCUCAUAAAAAGAACCAUAAAAAGUAAAAAUGCCAUAUC